GAUUUGUUGCUGAUCAUGGUCAUCACUGUAGCUUAAUUACAAUGCUCACUGUAGCAAAAGCUGAGGAUGUCACAAGACCGGCAUACCCCAUUAAUAAGCCACAAUUCUUCACGUGUGAGGUAGCUCUAGAAGCUUUAAUUUCACGUCAACCGAUUAUUAUGAUUUGUGCUCAGCAAAGGACCUACCUAUUAUUAUGAUUUUACACUACCG
rnacentral:lncRNA from 1 species